GGAAAUGCAGAGCUACUGGCGAGGCUAAUUUUGUUGCUAACUUAAUGAAUUGUUACAUUCUUGAGGGUUCGAAUCCUUUCAUUUCCG
rnacentral:tRNA from 1 species